rnacentral:misc_RNA from 1 species
AGACUUGUACAUUCCAUUCAUGGCUUUUGGCACUUAUGUUGUUCUUGCAGGCUUCUCACUUGGUCUUCAAGGAAAGUUUACUCCAGAAGCUUUGAGUUGGUUGUUCAUCAAGGGAUUGCUCGGUUGGUUUAUGCAAGUCAUGCUGCUUAAAGUAACACUAUUAUCACUGGGAAGUGGGGAGGCACCGUUACUCGAUAUCGUUGCAUAUGCUGGAUAUGCGUUUACCGGACUCUGUUUGGCUGCCAUUGGAAGAAUAUCGUUGAAAUAUUGUUACUAUUUUCUGAUGCCAUGGACGGCUUUAUGCAUGGGAAUAUUCUUGGUGAAAACAAUGAAGAGAGUGCUCUUUGCAGAAGUGAGGAGCUAUGAUUCAAGCAGGCAUCACUAUCUGUUGCUCUUUAUUGCUUUGGCUCAGUUCCCACUUUUUACUUGGCUUGGUAAUGUUAGUGUCAAUUGGCUUAUAUAAGUGCAAUGUUUAUGUACCUUUUUUAUUAGAAGCAUGUCCGUAGCCACUAUUUAGAUGUAAGCAAACCUUAUGAGAAGAGGUCAACAAUUAACUGUU